rnacentral:rRNA from 1 species
CCCUUAGAUGUUCUGGGCUGCACGCGCGCUACACUGAUGCGAUCAACAAGUUUUUCCUAUGUCGAUAGACACGGGUAAUCUUUUGAACUCGCAUCGUGAUGGGGAUAGAUUAUUGUAAUUAUUAAUCUUCAACGAGGAAUUCCUAGUAGGUGCGAAUCAUCAGUUUGCAUCGAUUACGUCCCUGCCCUUUGUACACACCGCCCGUCGCUGCUACCGAUUGGUUGAUCUGGUGAAUUAUUCGGACUGCCGGCUGAAGGGGUUUCCUCAUCUGCCAGCGGAAAGUCUUGUUAACCCUAUCAACUAGAGGAAGCAGAAGUCGUAACA